rnacentral:rRNA from 1 species
CCUACGGGAGGCAGCAGUGGGGAAUAUUGCACAAUGGGGGAAACCCUGAUGCAGCGACGCCGCGUGAGUGAAGAAGUAUCUCGGUACGUAAAGCUCUAUCAGCAGGAAAGAAAAUGACGGUACCUGACUAAGAAGCCCCGGCUAACUACGUGCCAGCAGCCGCGGUAAUACGUAGGGGGCAAGCGUUAUCCGGAUUUACUGGGUGUAAAGGGAGCGUAGACGGCGCAGCAAGUCCGGAGUGAAAGCCCAUGGCUUAACCAUGGUACUGCUCUGGAAACUGUGGAGCUUGAGUGCGGGAGGGGCAGGCGGAAUUCCUAGUGUAGCGGUGAAAUGCGUAGAUAUUAGGAGGAACACCAGCGGCGAAGGCGGCCUGCUGGACCGUAACUGACGUUGAGGCUCGAAAGCGUGGGGAGCAAACAGGAUUAGAUACCCCAGUAGUC